AAAGUUCGUCCCUCUUCCCGGAUAAUCACUGCCACGUCAUCAAAUUAGCAAAAUGGCAUGGGAAUUGACAAAAAUACCCCUGGCUUAUUUUUAAAAUUCUGAAAAUUGUUUUUAUAAAUUAAAAAAUCUGAAAAUAAUUUUAAAAAAUAAAAAAAUUCUAAAAAUAUUUUGAAAAUAACUUUUUCGAAAAAAAAUGAAAUAAUUUU
rnacentral:lncRNA from 1 species